rnacentral:sRNA from 1 species
CUGCAGAAGGUGACUCUGAAGGUGUCGCCACGGGGAAUUAUCCUGACAGACAACCUCACCAACCAGCUCAUUGAGAACGUGUCCAUAUACAGGAUCUCCUAUUGCACAGCAGACAAGAUGCACGACAAGGUGUUUGCAUACAUCGCCCAGAGCCAGCACAACCAGAGCCUCGAGUGCCACGCCUUCCUCUGCACCAAGCGGAAGAUGGUCAGCGGGGAGGGCUGGGGCUGGGACAGGGUCCAGUGGCCUUGGCAGCCUUGCUCUGGGUGGGGGGCUGUCUGGUGUGGGAGGCAGGACCCAAAGGUGACCAUUACUUAAGAAGAGGGUGAAAUAUCUGGGAACCCCAAGUGGGUGCCGAGAGCUAAGGGG